rnacentral:rRNA from 1 species
CAUCUUAGUGGCGGACGGGUGAGUAACGCGUGGGUAACCUGCCUUAUACAGGGGGAUAACACUUAGAAAUAGGUGCUAAUACCGCAUAAGCGCACGGGGCUGCAUGGCCCAGUGUGAAAAACUCCGGUGGUAUAAGAUGGACCCGCGUCUGAUUAGCUUGUUGGCGGGGUAACGGCCCACCAAGGCGACGAUCAGUAGCCGGCCUGAGAGGGUGGACGGCCACAUUGGGACUGAGACACGGCCCAAACUCCUACGGAAGGCAGCAG